rfam:Nicotiana attenuata strain TT chromosome 2, whole genome shotgun sequence.
UGGACAGAUUAUUGCAUUCGACUGUAUUCACGGCGUAAAAUAGGGGAUUACACUAUUUUUAAAACGGAAAGUGAAUCAAUUAACAUAAUAGACUCCU